rnacentral:rRNA from 1 species
UGCGUAGGCAGCGAGCGUUGUUCGGAAUUACUGGGCGUAAAGCGUGCGUAGGCGGUGCCUCAAGUUUGGUGUGAAAUCUCCCGGCUCAACCGGGAGGGUGCGCCGAAAACUGAGGUGCUCGAGUGUGGGAGAGGUAAGCGGAAUUCCUGGUGUAGCGGUGAAAUGCGUAGAUAUCAGGAGGAACACCGGCGGUGUAGACGGCUUACUGGACCAUAACUGACGCUGAGGCACGAAAGUGUGGGGAGCAAACAGG